CCUACGGGUGGCUGCAGUGAGGAAUAUUGGUCAAUGGACGAGAGUCUGAACCAGCCAAGUCGCGUGAAGGAUGACUGCCCUAUGGGUUGUAAACUUCUUUUGUAUGGGAAUAAAAUGUUCCACGUGUGGGAUUUUGUAUGUACCAUAUGAAUAAGGAUCGGCUAACUCCGUGCCAGCAGCCGCGGUAAUACGGAGGAUCCGAGCGUUAUCCGGAUUUAUUGGGUUUAAAGGGAGCGUAGGUGGAUGGUUAAGUCAGUUGUGAAAGUUUGCGGCUCAACCGUAAAAUUGCAGUUGAAACUGGCAGUCUUGAGUACAGUAGAGGUGGGCGGAAUUCGUGGUGUAGCGGUGAAAUGCGUAGAUAUCACGAAGAACUCCGAUUGCGAAGGCAGUUCACUGGACUGCAACUGACACUGAGGCUCGAAAGUGUGGGUAUCAAACAGGAUUAGAUACCCUUGUAGUC
rnacentral:rRNA from 1 species